CGGGAAAUAGCUUAGCUUGGUAAAGCGCUACGUUCGGGACGUAGAGACCGCAGGUUCAAAUCCUGUUUUCCCGACCA
rnacentral:tRNA from 1 species